rnacentral:rRNA from 1 species
GACGUAGGUGGCGAGCGUUAUUCGGAUUCACUAGGCGUAAAGCGUGUGUAGGCGGGUUCUUAAGUCCGCUGUGAAAUCCCCAGGCUUAACCUGGGAACUGCAUUCGAGACUGCAUUGCUAGAGUAUGGGAGAGGGAAGUGGAAUUUCCGGUGUAGCGGUGAAAUGCGUAGAUAUCUGGAGGAACACCGGUGGCGAAGGCGGCAUCCUGGACCGGUAUUGACGCUGAGGCGCGAAAGCCAGGGGAGCAAACGGG